rnacentral:rRNA from 1 species
UACGUAGGGAGCAAGCGUUGUCCGGAUUUACUGGGUGUAAAGGGUGCGUAGGCGGCCUUUCAAGUCAGGUGUGAAAUUUAUGGGCUUAACCCAUAAACUGCACUUGAAACUGGAAGGCUUGAGUGAUGGAGAGGUAAGCGGAAUUCCUAGUGUAGCGGUGAAAUGCGUAGAUAUUAGGAGGAACACCAGUGGCGAAGGCGGCUUACUGGACAUUAACUGACGCUGAGGCACGAAAGCGUGGGGAGCAAACAGGAUUAGAUACCCUGGUAGUCCACGCUGUAAACGAUGAUUACUAGGUGUAGGAGGUAUCGAUCCCUUCUGUGCCGGAGUUAACACAAUAAGUAAUCCACCUGGGGAGUACGACCGCAAGGUUGAA